GUCCAGGUUGGUCUCAAACUGCUGCCUCAGCCUCCCAAGGUGCUGGGAUUACAGGCAUGAGCCACCAAGCUCAGCAAUCUGAAUUAUUUAUGCAGAACUCUUUUUUUCUCUACCUGGAAGACCUGUUUAUAUGCACAUUUCUUUGGGGGCAACUCUUCUCCAUUGUCACAGAUUUUUUUUUUCCAAGCCAUUCUCAGGGGGAUUCCUGGGAAGCAUGUGGAAGAGGCGUGAGGAAGUGACCUUCAGGCGCGCCCUCUGGUCCCUCUACUCAAGUGAGAAGUUUGUCUGGCUGCUGUAACUGACUGGGAAGCUUAAAAUAACAGACAUUCAUCUGUCACAUUUCUGGGGACUGGGAAGUCCAAGACCAAGGUGCCAUCUGGGGAGGGCCCAUGCCUCACAGUGCCCUCCAGCUCAGGCCCCAUUUAUAAGGGCACUCAUCCCAUCGUGAGGACCCGACUUACUCACCUCGGAAAGCCCCCACCCCUUAAGACCAUCACCUUGUGGGUGAGGAUUUCAACACAGGAAUUCGGGGGCUGCAAACAUUCACACCGUGGCAAAGCAUGAGGUGCCGUCCCCCAUGCGCUCGGGCUGAUCCGGCGUCUCACGCUAGCAGCUACGUGGAAUUGUUAUUUUUUUCUGGAGAACUCUGUCUGGGACCCCUCUGAUGUCUUGGAGCACCUGAACGGGCCGUUCACUGUGCGCGCCGUGAGGCUGUCCUCUGGGGAGUUCUGCUGUUCUCUGGGUUCUGUCUGUGUCGGUGUCCCAGCGGGAAUGCCGGGCACUUUAGCGUCAUCCCCAGAGGGCUUGGUAAGGGGACUGUUUGCAGAGACAUAGGCAGAGUGCUGGAAAACUACCAGAAAAGUGCCGUGUUCUGGGCCUAAUAAUAGCAGAGCUCUUCUCACCCUGGUCUGAAGGGAAGAGGGAGGAGCAGUUAAUGGAUUCUGGAAGUCAAGUGGCACAGAGUCACCUCGAAAGAUGCCAUGACCUUCACUGAGGGCCAGAGAGAUACUAAGACGACCCCAUAGGAGAAUAAGACCUGGACCUCAUCCUCCUGCCUCCUGCCAGUCCCUGCCAGGGAUCGCCAAUGGCAGAACAGGACUGGAAGCCAGAGGCCGUGGAAGCCCAUGGAUGAAGUCCACAGGCCAGCCUCCCUGAGAGCAGCCUGGACGGUCCACAGGAGACAUCUCCUUUCUUAGGCGUCCCAGGCCACCUGCUCCUGUUCGGCCCCGCCGAGGUGGAAGCUUGGAGUGGGUCGCGGUGGGUGCAUUGACGCUGCAGACGUCAGCAAGUGCUGCAAACCAGAGCUGGCCUUUAACUCAGAGUGGUGGAGAAGACGUUAAUGAUGCAGAUGAGACUUGAAAGUGUUGAAGCCCUUACGCUGUGAGAGCGAAAAAAUUAAGGAAAUCUUCAGGCGUUUAAACACAGUGACUCAAUUCAGCAGAGAAGUCGCUGACAAACAAGAGCUCACACUGACUGUUUUGUUGUUUUGGUUUGUCUUACUCAUUAAUGCAAAUGAGAACAUUCACCGACAUUUGCGUAGGGCCUGCCCUCCCUGGUCAAAUACGGCUAUAGUCUCCCUGCAGAUACAGGUUUGCCAGACAUGAACAGACGUUUUCUGCGAGAAUCAAUUGGUCACAUACCAUUUACAAAAAUGAGUACCGUAUGCUACAUUUGUAAACUGUACGCUGCAGACGCUUUAUUUCACUAAAAUUUAUAAUAAACUUAUCCAUGUACACACA